GGGGAAUAUUGCGCAAUGGGGGAAACCCUGACGCAGCAACGCCGCGUGCGGGAUGAAGGCUUUCGGGUUGUAAACCGCUUUCAGCAGGGAAGAUUAUGACGGUACCUGCAGAAGAAGCCCCGGCUAACUACGUUCCAGCAGCCGCGGUAAUACGUAGGGGGCAAGCGUUAUCCGGAUUCAUUGGGCGUAAAGCGCGCGCAGGCGGGUUGCUAAGCGGGACCUCUAAUCUUGGGGCUCAACCUCAAGCCGGGUCCCGAACUGGCAGCCUCGAGUGCGGUAGGGGUAAGCGGAAUUCCCGGUGUAGCGGUGGAAUGCGCAGAUAUCGGGAAGAACACCGAUGGCGAAGGCAGCUUACUGGGCCGACACUGACGCUGAGGCGCGAAAGCUAGGGGAGCGAACAGG
rnacentral:rRNA from 1 species